rnacentral:rRNA from 1 species
GGUUAAGCGACUAAGCGUACACGGUGGAUGCCCUGGCAGUCAGAGGCGAUGAAGGACGUGCUAAUCUGCGAUAAGCGUCGGUAAGGUGAUAUGAACCGUUAUAACCGGCGAUUUCCGAAUGGGGAAACCCAGUGUGAUUCGUCACACUAUCAUUAACUGAAUCCAUAGGUUAAUGAGGCGAACCGGGGGAACUGAAACAUCUAAGUACCCCGAGGAAAAGAAAUCAACCGAGAUUCCCCCAGUAGCGGCGAGCGAACGGGGAGCAGCCCAGAGCCUGAAUCAGUGUGUGUGUUAGUGGAAGCGUCUGGAAAGGCGUGCGAUACAGGGUGACAGCCCCGUACACAAAAAUGCACAUACUGUGAGCUCGAUGAGUAGGGCGGGACACGUGGUAUCCUGUCUGAAUAUGGGGGGACCAUCCUCCAAGGCUAAAUACUCCUGACUGACCGAUAGUGAACCAGUACCGUGAGGGAAAGGCGAAAAGAACCCCGGCGAGGGGAGUGAAAAAGAACCUGAAACCGUGUACGUACAAGCAGUGGGAGCACAGAGCAAUCUGUGUGACUGCGUACCUUUUGUAUAAUGGGUCAGCGACUUAUAUUCUGUAGCAAGGUUAACCGAAUAGGGGAGCCGAAGGGAAACCGAGUCUUAACUGGGCGUUAAGUUGCAGGGUAUAGACCCGAAACCCGGUGAUCUAGCCAUGGGCAGGUUGAAGGUUGGGUAACACUAACUGGAGGACCGAACCGACUAAUGUUGAAAAAUUAGCGGAUGACUUGUGGCUGGGGGUGAAAGGCCAAUCAAACCGGGAGAUAGCUGGUUCUCCCCGAAAGCUAUUUAGGUAGCGCCUCGUGAAUUCAUCUCCGGGGGUAGAGCACUGUUUCGGCAAGGGGGUCAUCCCGACUUACCAACCCGAUGCAAACUGCGAAUACCGGAGAAUGUUAUCACGGGAGACACACGGCGGGUGCUAACGUCCGUCGUGAAGAGGGAAACAACCCAGACCGCCAGCUAAGGUCCCAAAGUCAUGGUUAAGUGGGAAACGAUGUGGGAAGGCCCAGACAGCCAGGAUGUUGGCUUAGAAGCAGCCAUCAUUUAAAGAAAGCGUAAUAGCUCACUGGUCGAGUCGGCCUGCGCGGAAGAUGUAACGGGGCUAAACCAUGCACCGAAGCUGCGGCAGCGACNNNAUGCUGGAGGUAUCAGAAGUGCGAAUGCUGACAUAAGUAACGAUAAAGCGGGUGAAAAGCCCGCUCGCCGGAAGACCAAGGGUUCCUGUCCAACGUUAAUCGGGGCAGGGUGAGUCGACCCCUAAGGCGAGGCCGAAAGGCGUAGUCGAUGGGAAACAGGUUAAUAUUCCUGUACUUGGUGUUACUGCGAAGGGGGGACGGAGAAGGCUAUGUUGGCCGGGCGACGGUUGUCCCGGUUUAAGCGUGUAGGCUGGUUUUCCAGGCAAAUCCGGAAAACUAAGGCUGAGGCGUGAUGACGAGGCACUACGGUGCUGAAGCAACAAAUGCCCUGCUUCCAGGAAAAGCCUCUAAGCAUCAGGUAACAUCAAAUCGUACCCCAAACCGACACAGGUGGUCAGGUAGAGAAUACCAAGGCGCUUGAGAGAACUCGGGUGAAGGAACUAGGCAAAAUGGUGCCGUAACUUCGGGAGAAGGCACGCUGAUAUGUAGGUGAAGUCCCUCGCGGAUGGAGCUGAAAUCAGUCGAAGAUACCAGCUGGCUGCAACUGUUUAUUAAAAACACAGCACUGUGCAAACACGAAAGUGGACGUAUACGGUGUGACGCCUGCCCGGUGCCGGAAGGUUAAUUGAUGGGGUUAGCGCAAGCGAAGCUCUUGAUCGAAGCCCCGGUAAACGGCGGCCGUAACUAUAACGGUCCUAAGGUAGCGAAAUUCCUUGUCGGGUAAGUUCCGACCUGCACGAAUGGCGUAAUGAUGGCCAGGCUGUCUCCACCCGAGACUCAGUGAAAUUGAACUCGCUGUGAAGAUGCAGUGUACCCGCGGCAAGACGGAAAGACCCCGUGAACCUUUACUAUAGCUUGACACUGAACAUUGAGCCUUGAUGUGUAGGAUAGGUGGGAGGCUUUGAAGUGUGGACGCCAGUCUGCAUGGAGCCGACCUUGAAAUACCACCCUUUAAUGUUUGAUGUUCUAACGUUGACCCGUGAUCCGGGUUGCGGACAGUGUCUGGUGGGUAGUUUGACUGGGGCGGUCUCCUCCUAAAGAGUAACGGAGGAGCACGAAGGUUGGCUAAUCCUGGUCGGACAUCAGGAGGUUAGUGCAAUGGCAUAAGCCAGCUUGACUGCGAGCGUGACGGCGCGAGCAGGUGCGAAAGCAGGUCAUAGUGAUCCGGUGGUUCUGAAUGGAAGGGCCAUCGCUCAACGGAUAAAAGGUACUCCGGGGAUAACAGGCUGAUACCGCCCAAGAGUUCAUAUCGACGGCGGUGUUUGGCACCUCGAUGUCGGCUCAUCACAUCCUGGGGCUGAAGUAGGUCCCAAGGGUAUGGCUGUUCGCCAUUUAAAGUGGUACGCGAGCUGGGUUUAGAACGUCGUGAGACAGUUCGGUCCCUAUCUGCCGUGGGCGCUGGAGAACUGAGGGGGGCUGCUCCUAGUACGAGAGGACCGGAGUGGACGCAUCACUGGUGUUCGGGUUGUCAUGCCAAUGGCACUGCCCGGUAGCUAAAUGCGGAAGAGAUAAGUGCUGAAAGCAUCUAAGCACGAAACUUGCCCCGAGAUGAGUUCUCCCUGACUCCUUGAGAGUCCUGAAGGAACGUUGAAGACGACGACGUUGAUAGGCCGGGUGUGUAAGCGCAGCGAUGCGUUGAGCUAACCGGUACUAAUGAACCGUGAGUGAUUUGAUGUU